AUAUAAGAAGUAAAAAAUUACGACAGGGAAAUGCUGCGCUAAAUAGGGAAAUAUUCUUAGGCAAAACAGGGAACUUUUGGCAACUUGCUGGCAGCACUGGCAUCUAUCAAAUUCUAGAGCUCAGUACUUGGUGCGCCUUUGUUGUGCUGAGACGAUUACCGCCUUUCGCUCUGACGGCCGCUAGGUGGCGUUGCCAUUUGAUAAGGAGUCCUUCCUCACUGCGCUUUGGCUGUUUGGGGCGCAGAGGGUUUUACACUGCUUAUUUUAGCACAUAAUUUUUGUGACCCGUUGGUGUCGCUAGCCACAGGCAAUACCUAGUGCGGUUGCCUGCGUCUCGUUCCUCUGCCUCAAACCCUGUUCGGGGUGGUGGUGUUCUUUGUGUUGGCGUGAUGGAGAGCGGGGCUCGACGACGCUCCCAUGCUUCUCCACGUGAUGGCCAGGCCCAGCUUCCUUCCAAGGUAGCUCGUCUUUCUUCGGACAGGGAGGAGAAUGGCCACUGUAACCCAUCGGUCCCUUCUACCGUCGUUCCGGGCCCUUCUGAGGCCCCUGACCCGGAGGAUCAGUUCUGCAAUUCGGUGGUGCAGAAAAUAUUACCGGCUUUAGUGCGAGCUCUGGGAAAAGGGCCGGUGGGGCAGAUGCCAGCUGAUAGCAGUGACAGUGAUAUAUCUGGCUACUGAAGAUUCCUAUAGCUACAGAAUGGGGGAUCGGACCAUGUCAAACAUCGUCAGUCAAGUAGCAACUGCUGUGUGGAACAACAUGAAACCUUUUUAUUUACCAGAACCCACAAUGGAAACAUGGGAGAAAGUGGCAUGUGAUUUUGAAAAAUAGUGGCACUUGCCACAUAGUGUGGGUGCAAUUGAUGGAAAACAUAUAUGCAUCCGAAAACCAUCAAACAGUGGGUCACCCUUCUUUAAUUAUAAGGAGACAUUUUCAGUUGUGUUGAUGGCCACUGUUGACUCAGAAUAUAGAUUCACUACAAUUAUAUAGUCCAUGGGCCGUUUUAGUGACGGACAUGUUUUUAGCAACUCUGCACUGGGAAAGAAAAUUGUAAGCAAAUCUUUGAACAUACCUAAACCAAAACCCAUUGAAGGUGUACAAGGAGAAUUGCCAUAUAUAUUUGUUGGAGAUGCUGCAUUUCCACUGCUAGAUAAUUUAUUGCUUCCAUAUCCUAAAUCAAAGACAAAGGAUAAUUUUGAGAAUAAAGUAUUUAAUUACAGACUGUCACGAACAAGGCAAACAGUUGAGUGUGCCCUUGGUAUAUUGGCUUCUCGAUUCAGGGUAUUCAUGCGGCCAUUUACUAUAAAGGUAGAUACAGUUGAUAACAUGAUAAAGGUGGCUUGUGUUCUUCACAAUUACUUGAGAAUACAUGUCAACAGAUGCGCAUGAGGAACUCGAAACAUUGCCUGAUAAUCAACUGAUUGCAUUAAACACAAAUGUAUCUAGAUGUAGUCUCUGCAUUUCAGCAACAGGAAGUCUGCCAUGGCAAACAGAGUGUGUUCGUCAAGGAAAAAAUUAAAAGAUGAGAGGAAGGAAUAACUGGAAAAAGGUAGUGAUAAUGAUGUGGACAAAAAAAAAAAACAUAGUAAGAACAUAAACAGUAGACAGGGUAAUAUUUUUGAUAAAUUUUGUUGUGUAAUACAAUAUGCAUCAGAUAUUAGUUUUCAUUGAAAAACCUGAUAAUUGCUAAUUACAAUAAAUGUACGUAUCAAGAGUGAUUUUCAUUAUAACACUGCCAGUCAGUUGUUCUCUCUCUCUCUCUCUCUCUCUCUCUCUCUCUCUCUCUCUCUCUCUCUC
rnacentral:misc_RNA from 1 species